UUAGGAAUUUUGGGCAAUGGGCGCAAGCCUGACCCAGCAACGCCGCGUGGGUGACGAAGGCCUUCGGGUUGUAAAGCCCUUUUCUGGGGGAAGAUGAUGACGGUACCCCAGGAAGAAGCACCGGCUAACUACGUGCCAGCAGCCGCGGUAAUACGUAGGGUGCGAACGUUGCCCGGAUUUAUUGGGCGUAAAGGGCGCGUAGGCGGCUCGGCACGUCCGUUGUGAAAUCGCCCGGCUCAACUGGGCGGGGUCAGCGGAUACGGUCGAGCUUGAGCAAGCUAGGGGGCAAUGGAAUUCCCGGUGUAGUGGUGGAAUGCGUAGAUAUCGGGAGGAACACCAGUGGCGAAGGCGGUUGCCUGGGGCUUUGCUGACGCUGAUGCGCGAAAGCGUGGGGAGCGAUCCGGAUUAGAUACCCGGGUAGUCCACGCCGUAAACGAUGCGGACUAGGUGUCGGGGGUAUCGACCCCCUCGGCGCCGCAGCUAACGCAUUAAGUCCGCCGCCUGGGGACUACGGCCGCAAGGCUAA
rnacentral:rRNA from 1 species